AGGAAACCCAACCUUUACCUCUCUGCACAACAUAGCUUGUGAUUGGAAAGUGCAUACUUGAGUAUAAAGAAAGUAGUGAUGCACUGAAAUUAGUUUGAACUGAGUUUUAUGUGUAAGGCAGUGAUAGGCAACUUCGGUCCUGGAGGGCCACUGUCCUGCAGAGUUUAGCUCCAACUCUGAUAAGAAAACUCACCUGCCUGUAGCUUUCUAAUAAUCCUAAAGACACUGAUUAGCUUGUUCAUGUGUGUUUGAUUUAGGGAUGGGCAUUUUUCCAAAAUAUUGUAUUCGAAUAUUUGGGCUCGUAAAAAACGAAUAUUCGUUUAAUUAAAUGUUGUUAAACGAGAAGGACGUAAUUUUUUUUUUUUUAAUUCAUCAAGAUUUUGUAGGCCUAACCAUUUCUGAACAAGCUUACGAUUAGGCAAUAUACACAACAAGCUUACGUUAUAUACAUAAGCUUACGUUUCUUUUAGGUCAAAGCAUUAAACACCACAUGCAAACAAAAAAUAUAAAGAACAAAAGCAUUUAAACUCAAGCAGCGCGAAUGGGGAAAAACGCUAAUAAAGCAGACAGCGCCAGUUAUCGUACAAAACGUACAUAAUACACUCAAGUCAGUAUAUGGUUAUCGUGUUCAUAUUGUUUCACAUGUUCAUGUUGAGAAAAAUAAUAUCCACAUGCUCAGGUGAGAAAAUGAGCUGCGCUGACGAAACAAAGAUAACGAUAAUACAUAACGGUAUACUAAGCUAAGUUUCUAACAGCAGCACUUUGUGUUUUCUCUUCGUAAAUAUGUCUCCCUUGACGGAACUUAAAGGAAGCACGUCUCAAAAUAAUUUUGCUAUCAGAUAAGUUAUCUUCUUUGCUCACUCAGGGGUACAGCUGCACUUACCUGUCGUGAAUGCAGUGAUGGACAGCUGUCUUUCCUCAUUCGACUGGUGUUUUGAUUUCAUGUGCUUUCUCAUUAUGGUGCUGAUAUUAUGAUAACUCUUUCAUUAAAUCAUUUGAUCAAAAGUAAUUACAUUUUGUAAGAUCAUUUUCAUCCAAGUAAUUCCAAACUUCGCGGCAGACGACAACCUUAUGUGAUGAUCAAAUAAAAUAAACUUGUUAAACGCUCCACAGUGUCACCCGGUGCAUAUAGUUAUAACUGCGAGGUUUAGUGCUUUAUCAUGGAUUCACUGUAUUUUAUGGCCAGCAAAGCAACAUAGCAAAAUUGGAAUAGUAUUUUUAUUUUUCGAAUAUUAAUUACAGGUCGAAUAUUCGACUAUUUGUGCACACCCCUAGUUUCAUUAGGGUUGGAGCUAAACCCUGCAAGACAGUGGCCCACCAGGAUCGAAGUUGCCCAUGCCUGUUGUAAGGGAUAAUCCACGACUAGCUGUUCAUUAAAUGAUUUUAAUGCACGAUGUAGAGACCACCUGAUGAGAAGCAGAGGUACAUUCAAAUUGUUUAAUGCACAGUUAGCCAUGGAUUAUCCUGCUUAUACCAUGGUCAUUUACCAGCAUUGACAAUUGAUGUUUGCAGCACAAUAUUUGAUUUAAAGGAUAAAAAUGACAUUUUCGUCGGUUACGGCUCGUUAGAUCUAGCAUUCUGCCCGCUUUGAAACAGACAGAGAGUGUGCUAUGAUUACAUUUAUUUUAAUGAAUGAAUUUGAAUUAGAGAGAAAGAGAGUGAGAUGCAUGUGUAUUACCUGCAUAUGUGCAGAGUCUCUCUCUACUAACAAUGAAGUUGUGAGUUUAAUUACUUCAAAAACAGCAAUGUUACCCACUCGUUGCUGAGGAAUAUAAUGUAGCAAUUCAGUAGCGAAGCCAUUUUAUUAAUAGAAACAUCAAGUUUAUGUAUUCCUGAAUUUUCUUGUGUGCACAGUGCGACCUCAGUGGUGUGUUUCAAUGAAAGAAGUGCAUUAUUUAGUCUUGUGUAUACUACGUUUAGCCAAGGCUGCAAAACCGCCACCCUGACACAAAUAUGGUAGAACUAUCACUUCUACCACUAAAGAUUUCUUUAUAAAUAAUCUUCCUGAUCAGUUCCAUCUCUUUAGCAUACCAGAUAGUUUAGAAGAACUUGAUGUUGCAACAGAACUCAGUUGCUCCUUUGCACUUAAAGAUUAAGGAAAUUAGUUCAACGCCAUGGUACAACAAGCACAUUCGGGUCCUUAAGAGAGCAGCCAGAAAAAUGGAGCGCAGCUGGAAGAAAACUAGAAUUUUUUCACAUUUUGUGGAAAGAACACAUUUUUAUGUAUAGAAAGGCCUUAAAAACUGAGAUCUACUUAUUUUUCCUAAUCUCUUAGAAGAAAAACACAAUCCUAAGUAUUUAUUUGAUACAGUUGUUAAAUUAACAAGAAAUCAAGCUUCAACUUCUGAUAUUUCCAAACAGCACAGCAGUAAUGACUUUAUGAACUUCUUUACUUGCAAGAUUGAUAAUUAGAGAGAAAAUAUAACCAUUCAACCGUCUACUACAGUAUUACGUCAGACAGUGCAUUGUAGUGUCCCUGAGGAAAAAUUCCAUUCAUUCACUGCUAUAGGAGGAAGAAUUGUCUAAACUUGUUAAAUCAUCAAAAUCAACAACAUGUAUGUUAGACCCUAUACUGACUAAGCUAUUGAAAGAGAUUCACGAUUGACACAUUCACGAUUGACACUUUUUUUUUUUUUUUUUUAACUGUUUAACUAGUCAACUUAAAAACUUAAUGUGGCGAGGGGGGCGUGGUUCAGCGGAGUCGGCAGCGGGAGAGAGAGUCGGGAGACGAACGGUGAGUGAGUGGGUUAAAUGCAAAUGACGAACACCUGUCUCUUUUUGCAUGACCGCGAGGGAGGUGAUAAUCUCCGCAAAUGGCGAUCCGGAGGACGAUUGCAUGGCGGCGGCUUCCGUCUUCCUUCCCGGGUUUCGGCACCAGUGUAGCAAGGUUCAGGAUUCAGGAAGGAAGAGGACAGGGUCGGCUUGACUACUGACUGCUUUAUUUUAACCAAUUCACCAUAUACAAAAACAAAGGGGUGCAGACAGGCACAAAGCGGUCAUAAAUCAUUCACAAUUCUCUCUCAACAAAAGACAUAUCCAGCGGGGCAGCAGUCAGUAGUCCUUCUCUCUCUCUCCCACUCCUGUUUCUUCUGGCGUUAUAUACUCUCUCCACACCAAUUACUGAAACAAGAGACAGGUGUUCGUCAUUUGCAUUUAACCCACUCACCGUUCGUCUCCCGACUCUCUCUCCCGCUGCUGACUCCGCUGAACCACGCCCCCCUCGCCACACUUAACUACAAUAUUAAAGCUGCAAGCAGAGAUGAAAGGGCCCCUCGCACCCGGGCUCACCGCCACCUGUUGGCCUCAGGAAAACAGUGAACAGUGGGCGACAUGCAUGUAAGUGAGUAAAUACAGGAGAAUUAUGGCAAAGUCAUUUCAAAGUGCCAGACUUCCUGCUGCCAACAGGUGGCGCUUUGACCGUAACUGAAUAUUGCCAUGUAGACGACUUCAGGCCAGGACUAUUAUCGAACAUGUGAAGUUUGGAGCAGAUCGGACUUUGUUUGCCUGAGUUACAACAACUUCCUGUUUCGUGGCGUUAAUCGCAUACAUUAGCACUUAGCCAAGUGUUGCAUGAUUUAACCUGUUUCUAGUGUGUUUGGUACUUUGUGGCAUAUUGAAAUGUGUUUCUUGGAGUGAAUUACAGUGUAAAGCAUGCCAUUUUCUGUUGCCAGCAGGUGGCUCUAUGACUAACUGAAUAUUGGCAUAUAGAUGUCUUUAGGCCAGGACUCUUAUCACACGUGAAGUUUGGGGCAGAUCGGACAUUGUAUGCCUGAGUUACAACAGCUUCCCCUUUCAUGGCGAAACAUCAGACUCUGUCAGGCCGCCACGGACACACUCUUUAGUGAAAACUCUAGAUCUUCACAAUUUAACAUCGCUAAGGCCUUUAGAUUAGAUUGACCAAAUAUGAUGUGGUUCUGGUUAAAUCUGUAUGAGGAGUUAAUCACAGUGUAAAACAUGUCAUUUCCUGUUGCCCGCAGGUGGCGCUAUGACCGUAACUGAAUAUUGCCAUGUAGAUGUCUACAGGCCAGGACUCUAAUAAAACAUGUGAAGUUUGGGGCUGAUCCGACUUUAAAUACCCGAGUUACAUAAACUUCCUUUUUCAUGGCGAAACAUCAAAAUUUGUCAGGCCACCACGGACACGACCUCCAGCGAAAACUCUAGAUCUUCACAAUUUAACGUCGCAAAAGCCUUUAGAUUAGACUGACCAAAUAUGAUGUUGAUCUGAUAAAAGCUCUAGGAGGAGUUCGUUAAAGUACAACAUCUGGAAAUGGCAAAAAGUGCACAAAUUUUGCAGAGAAAAUUCAAAAUAUCUGACUUCCUGUUGGUUUUCAGACUUUGCACCAGGAGACUUUUUUGUAGGGAUUGGGCUGUUACAUGUGUCUACUGAAUUUCAUACCUGUACGUGAAACGUGGUGCAAGGGGCACUUCGUUGAAAUUUUGUAGGUAAUUCUGAGACCAAUAACAGAUGCAAAUUUUUACCACUUCUGACGUGUGUGCAAAGUUUCAUGAGUUUGAGCAUGAUUAGGCCCUCAAAAAUGUGAUUCAUUUGGGAGAAGCGGAAGAAUAAAUAUAGCUGCAAGCAGCGAUGGCGGGCCCAAGCCCGGUGCCUUCAUGGCAACUGUGCACAUUUACUGCAGCAGUUGGUGCCCAUAUGAUAUGAUAUGAUAUGAUAUGAUAUGAUAUGAUAUGAUAUGAUAUGAUAUGAUAUGAUAUGAUAUGAUAUGAUAUGAUAUGAUAUGAUAUGAUAUGAUAUGAUAUGAUAUGAUAUGAUAUGAUAUGAUAUGAUAUGAUAUGAUAUGAGAGAGAGAGAGAGAGAGAGAGAGAGAGAGAGAGAGAGAGAGAGAUCCACAUUCAAACCAAAAUAUCUGACUUCCUGUUGGUCGGAGCUAAUGACUGUAAAUUAGAAAGUUGUCCGGCUUAAUGAGAACAGUAUGUGUACCGACUUUGGUGAAUGUAGGUAAAAAUAACCCCCCCACUUUUGUCAAAAGGUGGCGCUACUGAGCCCCUCCACCAUGCCCGUUUCUAAGGCUUUGUCCAUGUCUCCUGGUCGGCAACAUUGAUGUGUGUGCUGAGUUUCAUGCAAUUUGAAGCAUGUUAAGAGCCUCAAAAACAACUGGCACUCUGUUGCCAGUUGGUGGUGCUAUAACUUUGACUCACAAUAGUCACAUCCAUGUGAUCAGCCUCCUACAAUGAACACACAGCUGAAGUUUCAUAAAAAUCAAUGCAGACGUUAUAACACAUAUCGUGUUUCCCUUUUCUCGCCAUAAAUUCGUUGCCCCGCCACGGCCAAACUGUUCGAGAUAUCAAUAUUAUUAUUCACUCGCACCUUUUACAUAGUCUUACUCAAUUUACUUUUUAAUAAGGGAAAUCAAUGUACAAUUAAUGUAAUUUUUUAAAAAGAUUUUAUGAACUGUUAAACUUGUGCAAUUUUGCUAAUACAAAUGGGAAACUUUGCUUUCAGUUUACAAGCAAUAUUACUCCAACAAGCAAAUGUAAACAUCUCAAUUGCAUUAUCUGUAAAUUUGCAACAAACAAAUGUACAGAAGUCCUAUUUUUGAUUACAAGCCUAGAGAACAUUUUCAACUCAGCCUUGUUAAAAAGUGCUUAUUUAAAAAACAGUUGUUCCAUAUGGCAUUACUAUCAUCCACAUCCACGUUACCAUAAAAAAAAAAAAAAAAAAAAAAAAAAAAAAAAAAAAAAAAAAAGUAUAAGAGUAUAAGAAAAGUAUAAAAAGUAUAAGAACAUAAAGUGCAUACAUUUCUGUCAUUCAUUUGGCAAAAAAAUGGUUUUGUUGACUAUGCAUUUUACCUUUGAAAUCUAAGCCAAGUGCAAAUCUGGUGUCACGUGUAUCUUUCAUACUUCUCGUUAUCCGCUUUUCCAUCAUCGGGCCAAACCGUUCUGUUUGCUUUACUGUUCCAUCCCGUGCCGAUCUGAUCUGAGCCGGCCGGUACGGAUGUGUUUUCGUUUUCCACUGUGGGGCUGAUAACUGAGCUCUUCGGUCGUUGCCUUAGUAAUGCAAGAGUUUACACACGAUAUGCGAUGUAAAUAGUGACCGCGUUGUGUAGGAUGAUCAGUUAUUUCUUUUAAUUGUAUGAUUAAUUUGUGUUCAUGUUGCUCAAAUAUCAUGUUUAACAAGCUACGAAGAAACUGGCAGCCAGGCAAGUGACCGAUCCUGAGUGACGACGUCACGUCUCUACUCGCAUUCUAGCAGCACAGUUCGGCACGGUUGGCUAAUUCCGGGCGGAGAACGGUUUGUAAUCGUGCCGUGCUGUAUCGGGCUCAGUUGGAAAUAAAACUGGAACCGUUCCUUACCAUUCAUCCGUUCGGCCCGACGGUGGAAAGGAGAUUGUGAGCAGUGCAGUGGUGUAAUGGCAAUUUACAAUAAAAUCUUUCAUUACAGAUUUCGUUUCCAAACAAAUCAAACAUAUGGGUGACCCCUUGAACUUGGUAAAAAGAUAAUCCCUUAACCACCCUGAUUGGAUGGUGAAAACACAAUUUUUAUUUUUCAUGUAUUUUUGCUAAUUUUAGUAAACUUUCACAUUAGCAUGCACAUCCUAUGCUGUUAUUAAUACGGGGAUCGGCUGGAAAUAGCGACCUCUCCUGGAUUGAUUUAGUAUUGACAAAAUCUGAAUGCAAUCUUUACAUUACUUGCUUUUCAAAUGUCCAGCGGGCCGUAUUUAAAGACCUGGCAGGCCGUAUGCAUGAAACGGCAUUCUAAAAACACGGCAGUCAAGUUAAAAAAAAAAGUUCAACUCACGUUUAAUAACUUUGCCUUUUUUCCCCCCCUCAUUCCACUGCCUGCGUCUCAUUUUUAUAAUACAAUAAAGCAUUUCUGAAUUAACAGCCGCUUAAGACUAGUGAUGUGUUCUACGUUCAUAGAGCAUCACAUGAGAGUGGUUAAUCAGGCGCGCCGGCACCAUCAUGAGGUUGGAUCAUUUUCUUCUCCUAAUGUGGUUUUCAUUGCUGUAUUGUCAACAUGUCUAAUUGUAACGCUUGCUAAACACCUUUUAUUCCAAAAAAAACAAACAAAAAAAAAAAAACACGCAGGCAUCUGCAGGAUAAUAUUCGUAGGCUACUUAACAUUAUGUCCUAUAGUUCAACUUUUUUCUAAACCCUGUAUGGCACUGGCGCUUGAUGCCGAGGAGGCAUUUGACCGAGUGUCAUGGCCUUUUCUGCUCAGUGCUCAAAAAAAAAAAAAAAAAAAAUAAUAAUAAUAAUAAUAAAGAUUUGGUCCUAACUUUAUUCAUUGGAUAAGGCUGCUGUACUCUGCUCCCCGAAGUAUUGUUAGGGUUAAUGUUUGUAUGUCUGAACCCUUUACACUUGAAAGGGGAACGAGAUAGGGGUGUCCACUGUCACCUCUUCUUUUUCCCCUUUGUAUAGAGCCAUUGGCUGAGAUAAUUAGGAGUAAUCCUGAUAUACAAGGUACAAGAGUAGGAAGAGAGAUGCAUAAAGUGUCAUUAUAUGCAGAUGACAACUGUAUACAUUUCUGAUCCAUUACGCUCAGUCCCCACACUAUUAGAAUGUAUUAACCAAUUUGGUAAACAUUCAGGUUAUAAAAUUAAUGUUGGGAAAACUGAAGCUCUAGCUAUGAAUACUCUUAUUACAACACAGAUAACGUCCUUCUCGUUCAGAUGGCCUAAAGAGGGGAUCAGGUAUUUAGGUGUGGUUAUAUCCCGACUUAAAUAUGAUGUGAAUUAUGCAAAGCUAUUAGAUAAAAUUAUUUCAGAUUUGAGGAGAUGGAAUAUAUUACCUUUUUCCUUUAUCUGCUAGAAUAGAAACUAUUAGAAUGAAUAUAUUACCACAGUUCUUACUCCUUUUCCAGACUCUUCCAUUGUCCCCUCCAGUAUCCAUGUUCUCUCGUCUAGAUAAACUGAUUUCUAGGUUCAUCUGGCAAGGGAGAUGUCCCAGAGUCUGGUACAAAACAUUGCAAUUACGAAAAUCUCAAGGAGGCUGGGCACUACCGAACUUUAAGAACUAUUGGACAGCAUCACAGCUGCGAGACAUGGUAGUUUGGUUGUUCGACAAUGUAAGGACUAGGUGGUUAGAAAUUAAAUUUAAUUCCAAAUCUUUCUCCUUACCAGCUUUUCCAUUUCCAUUUCCAGAUGCUUCCAGAGGUCAUAGAUCCUCUUAAUAUCGUUAAUUCAUCUUUAUCACUAGGAUAUGUACUGAAAACUUUUAAGCUUGCUAUUAUUAAACCUCUUAUUUAUUAAAAAAAAAAAAAAAAAAAAAAAAAAAA